rnacentral:rRNA from 1 species
UAAUACAGAGGGUGCGAGCGUUAAUCGGAAUUACUGGGCGUAAAGCGCGCGUAGGCGGCUUUGCAAGUCGGGUGUGAAAUCCCCAGGCUUAACCUGGGAACUGCAUUCGAGACUGCAUUGCUAGAGUAUGGGAGAGGGAAGUGGAAUUUCCGGUGUAGCGGUGAAAUGCGUAGAUAUCGGAAGGAACAUCAGUGGCGAAAGCGACUUCCUGGACCAAUACUGACGCUCAUGUGCGAAAGCGUGGGGAGCAAACAGGAUUAGAUACCCUGGUAGUCCACGCCAUAAACGAUGAGAACUGGAUGUCGGGAGGGUCUGCCUCUCGGUGUCGUAGCUAACGCGUUAAGUUCUCCGCCUGGGGAGUACGGCCGCAAGGUUG